rnacentral:rRNA from 1 species
AACGAACGCUGGCGGCGUGCCUAAUACAUGCAAGUCGAACGAGAAAGCUCUUCGGAGUGAGUAGAGUGGCGCACGGGUGAGUAACACGUAGGUAACCUGCCUAGAAGUGGGGGGAUAACCAGUGGAAACGCUGGCUAAUACCGCAUAUGCUGGUAACAGCAAAGGGGGCUUCGGCUCUCGCUUUUAGAUGGGCCUGCGGAACAUUAGCUUGAUGGUGGGGUAAUGGCCUACCAUGGCGAUGAUGUAUAGCUGGUCUGAGAGGAUGAUCAGCCACACUGGAACUGAGACACGGUCCAG